ensembl:lncRNA
AUUUGUUUUAUAAUCAAAUGAUAAAACCUGCACUGUUCCAAGAUGGAAAAGUGGGCACCAGGGUCUGGCUGUUGGUGAUGCUGCUGUGACCCCGGGCUGCUGGGGGACAGGAUUUGCUUUGUGAUGCCAGAACCAUUGAGCUGCUUCCUCAGUUAAUUAAAAUAUGCAUCAUUAACAGUUAACUUUGUGCCUUCUCAGACUUGGCAGGUCCUUACUGGGAUGGACAGGAGCUGUCCACAAAACCAGUGUCUGUUUCUGCUCCCCCUGGUCCCCAUUUGCUGUCCUGGUCCCUCCUCUCCUCCAGGCUCUGCUGAGGUUCCUCAUCCCAAAAGACUCCCCAGCCCCUGGGAUGGCAGGAACUUUCCAGGGCUGCUUUUCUCCCUCCCCAGCACAAGGAUGAGCAUCCACUAAAGCUGUCCCCAGGGCUGUGAGGUCUUUGCUUCCUGGUUUUCAGCUGGGAUGCAGCAGCUCCCACCUGAGAGCAGAGCUGCAGGGGGAACUCGAGCAGCCUCACUCGGGCAGGGAUCCUCCAGUGCUCCCUGUGUUUGCUGCUGGAGAGCACCAGCAGCAGGGAAAGCAUUCCAGCUGUCCCUGGCACAACCAGGCUCUCCUGCCAGCACUAACCCCACGGAAUAUUUCCUCUCCUUCUCCCUUGGACCUUGUUGUUCGGGAGAACAUACAAUAACAAAGGAGCAUUCGGAGUGAUUUCGUUAGAAAUCCAUCAGACUGUCAGACAGUCUGGUGGCAUCAAUAAUUCCCUAUUAAGCCCUCUACACCCAUUAUGGUUUGUGCUUUUCCUUUUUUUUUUUCGAAGUUAGUUUCCAGGCAACCAGUAAGAACUGAAUUGCAUUAAGCUAUUAAUUCAGCCUUGCAUGCCAGCUCCAGCUUCUGCAGCCCAGCUCUUCUUCUCCUCUACAGGUUUCCUCCUGAAACCCCUUUACUGGUUAAACAUUCAGCUGUGCCCAGCCCAGGGAACUGGUGUGGAAAUGGCAGGGCUGGGGUUUGCUCCCUGGCUGCUGGGGGGGGUUUGGAGCAGAGUUCUGAGGAAGGCUGGAGUUGGUCACCAGAAAAUGCACAGUGAUCCCCUGGAGUGUUCUUCAGCACCACAGCAGAGCUGGCCUCAGGAAGGCUCAGCUGAGGAUGCUGUACAAGAGGGAUGGAGACCUGGGCUGAAAUCACAGUUGUGGCUGAUAAUUACAAUGGUUAGGAACGUGGCUGCUGUCAGAAACCUUUGGAAACGUUUCAGAAAUACUGGCAAACGACUAUUUGUGUUUUUCCAGCUGAAGAAAAUCAGUUGUAUGUGAAAGAAAGUGAUCCUUCUCCCAGUUCUACGUUCGGGCUGAAAUCCUGGAAACAACUCAGGCUCACCAAAUGCAGCAGCAUCAGCCCAGCACAGCCAUUGACAGAUGUCACCUCUUUGUCACCUGCCUGUGCCUCUGGUGCUCCAGCAGGAAGGUUUGGGCUGAUGAUGGUGAGACACCUCUUCAAACCCAGGUCACACCCUUCUCUGUGGUUGUUACCACUGCUCAAACUCUUCGUUGUGCUUCUAGAAAUGCUGUGAUCCUUUUGAAAUGGGGGUCAGACAUUUGCUUGGUCUCAUUCCUGCAAACCUUUCCCAGCAUCAGAGGCGCCCCUGGCUGCUCAGUCAUUCCACACACUCAGAGCUCACCUGGACAAAAUCUCCAUCCUUUAAAUGGUUUUCUCCAUUAGCAACACCAGGUGAUGGGGUUUUCCCAGCAUGGGAAGUGAAGGGUGACUGUGCACGUGUAAUUCAAGGGAACAGCUUUGGGGAAACAUCAGCCAGAGGAAGGAGGAAAAGAAAUUUGAAUUCAAUUGGAUUUUAGUAACUUCAGCUUGGGUUUGAAUCAUAUUUACAUGCUUCUCUCUCUCUCUCUCUCCUCUGUUUGCAAGUUUUAUUGCUAUGGUUCUUGUGUCUUGGAGCGAUGUGAAUUGGUGGGUUUGUUAUUGCUGAGAGGGAGGGGAGCUGCAGCAGCAAGGAAUGAGAUGAUUCCCUGGAGUCCUACACAGCAAAAGUGUGGAAAACCUGGAGCUGAACCCAGAUCCCAGGAGACACCCAAUGGCCCCAGAACGGAUGGUGUGGUGGGCCAGGAGCUGCCAACAGGAAGCUCAAGUCGAGGUUUAAAACUCAAUUACAUGAAGGAUGUGAUGGGAAUGGGGACAUUUAGGGCAAAAUCCUCCCUGCCUCGCACGGAGACCCAGGAGCUUUGCAGCUUUCCUGUUUCUGCUUCCAGCGGUGCCCAAAUGUGAGAAUUCUGUGCAGUUUGAGAGCGAGGAGGAAAGUGAGAAAUCAUUUAACAGCCCGAGCUCCAACGGGAGCAUCAGCAGGAGCUGGAUUGAUGGAAAUGCCCCAAAUUGAGGGUGGUUUCAGGGAGAUUGUUUUUAUUGUUGGUUGCAAGCUUUGGCUGAAAGCUUUUCUAAGUGAGUAUUUUGGGACAAGGCAAAGACUUUUCACAGGGUGAACCAAAGAUGAAAUUACAGGUUUUUAACAAGAACUGCACCCGUAAAUGAAAAAUAGGAUGUGGCACAGUUAAAAUAAGACCACGGUCCUGAAGUCUUUGGCUAUGUUCUUUAAGAUGUACUUUGGGGAUUAAUCAGCAAAUGAUUGUCCCAGCAAUUUGGCUCAGGUGGGUUUUUGCUCAUUGCAGCCUCAGGUUACACACUCAUUGUCAAUUAAAUCAUUUCAAAUAAUGCAGCUGUUGAAGCUGCCUGGCCUGGCUCUUGGCUGGCCACGUUUGCUUCUCCAGGGUCCUGUUCCUCCAGCACAGCCACGUUCCCUGGCAGUUCUCUGGGUGCAGAUUGGUCCCCUCUCUGUAAAUACCUGGAAUCCAGAUCAUUUCCAACUUCUCCAGCCUCCAUCCCUCACUCCCAGUGUACCUGGGCUCUGGAGCCCUCCCAAAACCCAGCAAAAUGAGCAGGAAAAGGCUAAAGAGAGACCCAGCGUGGAGCUGGGAUGGGUCUGCUUCUCUCAGGGAAUGGAAUGAGUGUCAUUUUUCCCUUCUGAUUUUUCAGACUGUGCUCACAGAAUCACAGAAUGGUCGCUGUUGAGAAAGACCAUCAAGUUCAACCUUAAAUGUUUCACUGGUGUAGAAAUGAAAAAUGAACUCCAAACCACUCUGAUCUGGAGGAUUCCAGCCUAGUUCUGUUUGGAAUUGAGCAGAAGUUUCAAGUAAUUCAUGUCUGAAAUGUCUUCAUAACUUUUGCCUCAUAAAACCAGGAAAGGAUGUAAAGUAACACCAAAAUUUUCCAUUUUGGAAAGGAAGUUUCUCCUUCCUGGCAGUGAGGAUAAAGGAAAUUUUCUGUGUUUCAAGAGGAUUGUCAGUGGCUAUUUAAAUGUUAGCACAUCUUAAUCUGCCCACCCUCAAGCACUGCUCUGAUGGGAAGUUGGUGAUUUAUGGGAUUGGAUUUGAAUUGCUGUUCAGAAUUCAUGUCCUGGUUAGGAACACUGAAAGCUCCUGCACUCUCCUGUGGCUCCCCAAAGCCAAGGCUGGGCAGGCUCUGCCCUCUGGAAGUGCCUCUGGUGGCUGGGGCUGCCUGAUGUGACCCUGCUGCUGGAGCUACCACGUGUGAAUGGAAAAGCUGAGGAGGAAACACCAGGAGGGUUUUAUCCUCCCUGAGUGCUCUCAUGGGUUUGCCCAUCUUUUACUUGUUCCUCUCUUCUCCAAAAUGCCUUUUUUUGUUGUUGUUGUUUUUUUCCCCUCAAAGAGCAUGAAAAGGAAAAUUGCUAAUGAGUCAAACCACCAGAAAAGGGAAGGGAUGUGCUGAGGACAAGGAUUUUUCUCCAUGGCCCACGGAGUCUCCAGCAGCAUUGCCCCGCACUCAUCAGCCCUCCCUAAUUAAAUUAACGGCCUGCAAUUAACACACAGCCCAGCAUCACUCUUUUAAUUCAUCUUCUGGCUCUCCAAACUGAAUUGCUUUUAAUAAAAAACAUAUAAAAAGCA